UAAUAAGUGUUUUAUGGCACUUUUUAAAUCCAUAUCCACCUUGUGUGCAAUGUGGUCGAUCUUCUUUUUUUGAGGAUCGACCAAACAUCAACCUUUAUUUUUUAACUCUUUGUCUGAAAAUAUUAUGAAUAAACAAUUCAAAAUA
rnacentral:misc_RNA from 1 species